rnacentral:rRNA from 1 species
GGACGAACGCUGGCGGCGUGCCUAACACAUGCAAGUCGAACGAGCGCAAGGAGCUUGCUCCUUGUUGCGAGUGGCGGACGGGUGAGUAACGCGUGAGGAACCUGCCCUUGAGAGGGGGAUAACGUCCGGAAACGGACGCUAAUACCGCAUAACAUGUUCAAAUCGCAUGGUUUGAACAUCAAAGGAGCAAUCCGCUGAAGGAUGGCCUCGCGUCUGAUUAGAUAGUUGGUGAGGUAACGGCUCACCAAGUCGACGAUCAGUAGCCGGACUGAGAGGUUGAUCGGCCACAUUGGGACUGAGACACGGCCCAGACUCCUACGGGAGGCAGCAGUGAGGGAUAUUGCACAAGUAGGGGGGAAACCCUGAUGCAGCAACGCCGCGUGAAGGAAGACGGUUUUCGGAUUGUAAACUUCUGUUUUGGGUGACGAUAAUGACGGUAGCCCGAUAGAAAGCCACGGCUAACUACGUGCCAGCCGCCGC